rnacentral:lncRNA from 1 species
AGGUUACCGUCCUUUGCGAUGAUGAGUGGAGGUGUUCUUGGUGUAGAUACCAAGAUGAUGGAGACUCGUCCCUAAGUAGCCGAAACACCUUAGGAAACGGAAAAACCGCAAACUCAAAAUCUCAAAUGACAAAUGUCAAAUGGUGGUAGCGGAAAGCGGUGGUGGUGUUGCACUAGGCAAUGCGGAUGGAAUGAUGGGCUAUACACAUGUCAAAGUUGAAGCUACCGUCCCUAAGUAGCCGAAACACCUUAGGAGACACAAGCCACAACUCAAACAAGCUCAAACAACUAUUGGGUUAAGUUGGGUUGUCGGAAGUGUAUGGUGGGCAAGGUUAUGUGGAAGUGGUGGUGGUGGUUGAUGAAGAAGCAAUCGUCCCUAAG